AGAGCGAACGCUGGCGGCAGGCCUAACACAUGCAAGUCGAACGGACUCUUCGGAGUUAGUGGCGGACGGGUGAGUAACACGUGGGAACGUGCCUUUUGGUUCGGAAUAGCUCCUGGAAACGGGUGGUAAUGCCGAAUGUGCCCUUCGGGGGAAAGAUUUAUCGCCAUUAGAGCGGCCCGCGUCUGAUUAGCUAGUUGGUGAGGUAAAGGCUCACCAAGGCGACGAUCAGUAGCUGGUCUGAGAGGAUGACCAGCCACAUUGGGACUGAGACACGGCCCAAACUCCUACGGGAGGCAGCAGUGGGGAAUCUUGCGCAAUGGGGCGAAAGCCUGACGCAGCCAUGCCGCGUGAAUGAUGAAGUCUAGAUUAGUAAAUUCUUUCACCGGGACGAUAAUGACGGUACCCGGAGAAGAAGCCCGGCUAACUCGUCGCCAGCAAGCCGC
rnacentral:rRNA from 1 species